rnacentral:tRNA from 1 species
GGGAGUAUAGUUUAAAUACAUAGAAUGGUACUUUUGUAAAGUAUUGGUGUUAAUAUAUUACUUCUU